rnacentral:lncRNA from 1 species
UUUUUUUUUUUUUUUUUUUUUAAGCUCUUUUGAAUUGUUUUUCUUUCAUUUACAACCAAAGGGUCCUAACCAACAUGUUGGGGCCAGGCGGGAAGGGAAACUCCUCAAGAUGGUGGAUAUGCCAAAAUGGCUGGGGUUCUUGUCACCACCUCCACUUGGGACGCCAAUGGACCAAUGACCUGCUGACAGCUUGAGCAGACCCUUACACCUCUCCUUCGGACUUCCCCAACUGAACCCAAUGCCCUUCAAACCCCAGAGGAGGAAGUCACCUUUGACUGGUCGAAUUGCAAUCCUUCCUUUGCAUAGUGAGGGUCACUCUGACUGGUUGGAUUGCAAUCCUUCCUUUGCAUAUGAGCCAACCAAUAGGAAACCGUUCUGCCUUACAACGUUAUGUAAACCCCCUACCACCUUGUCUUGGCACGACUUCCCCGACUCACUCUCUCCCCCAUGAGUCAUGGAACCUCGCCAGAGGGUGCCUGCAAUAAAAUCUGUUCUUGGACCCUCGCUUGCCUUGGCGGUCUCAUUUCCAUUUAGUUACUAAAAAACUUAACACAACAUGUAAGUCAGUACUAGGAGUGGGAUGUAAUGAGUGACAGACCUACAUGGAAUUGGCUGUGUUUAGGUGGACUGAGGUGCAAUGAGGAUUCCCUCUCCCCACAUUCAAGUUGGUAAUCCAUUUCAUGGAUUGCAAAAGAGUUGGUUAGACUGUCACAUGUUAUAUUUUUGGAUUCACCUUAGAAGAAAAAAUAUCAUGAUGUUAUUUUAGUAGAGCAGGAAGGGAAGGCAAGAGAGCCUCGCUAAGAGACAGUGGCCAGCAAUUGAAGAGGGCUAAGAGUCAGAUAUUAUCUUCCUAUAGCUAAAGUUAGUGUAAGAAAAGGUAGUUAGGUGAGAAACACAGACGCAAUUAAGAUUAAGACCCAGAAGAAACCAGGAAAGUGGAGUGAGCCUAAUGGCCCAGGCCCCCUCUAACACCUCUAUAGUUCACUUGCUGCUCAAAAAACACAAUUAACUCCAUUGUAAAGAGCUCCAGAGUGAAGGCACAUUAGCCUUGCCUCAACCCAUUGUUUGAGAGGACAAGAUGGAAGCAGUUAACCCAGGGCUAGGAACUUGCACAGAGCUCUUGAGCCUGUUGCUAAGAGACAGAUAUUAUAAAAACAGGGUCAAAAUUCAUGGACCAUGACUCCAUAAGAUCUCUGGCUUUGGUUAAUAUCCCUUGAAGGUUCUGGAAAGCUAACCAACUGGCUAAUUGGUCCAACUUCCAAGUCCUGAAAAAAAGGCCUGUGAUUGUUCAAUCCCUAAGGUCAGCCCCAGAGCCCAGGAAUCCCUACAACAGAAAGUGAGCUAUGAGAAUAAAUAAAUAUAGCUCCUGGAAAAAACAAAAAAACAAAAAACAAAAACAAAAAACAACUCACUGCCUAUCUCAUAUAUGGUAGUAGAGAACAGAAGAUAUGGGGAAUGCUUUCAAAACACAACAAGGAUAGAGCCAACAGGGAACUCCCUCCACUACCACAUCAGGGCAUCCUGUGAAUAUUCAACCAGGAAUGGUAUGGGACAUGACAUUCACUUAGUGCCAACAGCAUUAUUUCCCCUAUUCUCUAUUUUUUUUUCCAAAAAGAAGUAUCUUAUUGUGGCUAUAUUCUUUUGCUUUCAUCAUUUCCUUCCUGGUAUGUCAGGAGUGAUUAAAUGCAUGAUUUGGCCUUGGUUUACAUUUGAAGAGGCAGCACAUCACACAGACACAACAAAGGAAGGCAAUGAGAUAGGAUUGAUAUAUAAAUGAGGCUACAAGAGAUCUGCAAUGCAUUAUUUCUUUUUUUAAAAAAUCUGUAGGAAAAAUUGGAGGGGGAAGGAUUUCUUUUUCUGUAGUAAAAAAUUAAAUGUAUUGGUUUACAGGGAGUCCAUAUGGAAUACUUUUAGUAUUUUACUGGUUUAAGAGUUAGACCUAGAUUUAAAUCAAGUCCUUUGCCUUCCCUCCCACACAAAAGGAAACCACUUGUCUAAGAUUGACAUGUUUUUUUCUGUUUUUAUACUUUUACUACCUUUGCACAUGUUCAUAAAUAAUAUAUAAUAUUUAUUUAUAUUCUUAAAAUUUACAUAAAUGGUAUGCUAUACUUAUCCUUGAGAAACUUGGCAUUCUCACUCAACAUCAUGUUUCUAAGAUUUAUACAUUUGGAUAUGUUCAUUCAUUUUAAUGAAUUGAUAGUAUUCUAAUAUAUGAAUAAAUCAUCCUUUACAUAUCCAUUCCCAUUCUGAUUCAAUAUUUGGGUUUUUUUAGUCAUCAUUAUAAUUUUGCUUUUAUAAGCAAUGAGGCAGUGAAGAUCUCUGGGCACAUCUUAUAUACAUGUGACAAUUUUCUAGAGCAUAUACCUAUACAUGAGCUUGCUGGGUAUAGUGUUUGCUCAUCUUCAAUGCAGUAGAUCUUGCUAAAUUGCUCCCUGGUGUAGUUUUACCAUUUGACAUUCUUGCCGGUAGUGGAUAAGGAUUCCUGUUUGUGGUGUCUCCUGACUCUGAUGUGUGAUGGUUUGAUUCAUGAGGUUUGUCUGCUUUUUAUUGUGAGCCUCUCUUCAUCAGGGGUAUUAGGUCUAUGGAAUUCUGUGUGCCCUGGAUUGUGAAAGAAUUCCUGCUGAGAAGUUUUAUAUUUGCUUUUACUGGAGCCUAUAGGGUUUCAAUGGUCCUUGACCAGGUUUAUGAUAAAUUCUCAGCUUGGGUGUCCCACACCAGACAGGUAGUGUAAAUUUGGAUCACAUACCUCUACAUAGUUCAGGCCCGGGGAUUAGGUUUCUUAAAUGAUUUUUUUUUUCUUUCUGUCUAAAUCUCUGAGCAAAUGACAAGCUCCCAUUUGCUUCCCCUGGUCAGUGGAUGCAAUUUUCUGGUCCACAUUUUAUGAGUGGGCAGCUCUUUGACUUUCCAGACUGUAUACAGGAUUCCUCCUUCCUCCAUUUCCUAUGAUCUGGAGGCCAUAUAACUUGUCCUCAUGGGGACACUAUGGGCCCAGCUCAAGUCUCACAUCAAAGCUAAAUUCCCAUGAGUCCCCUGCAACAGCUCUCCCUCACUCACUCACCAUAAGUAUAUUCAUUUCACUCUCUUUCCCUAUAUCUGAGAUGAACUUUUCUUUCUUCCAAGUUCGGCAAUGCAAUUUCACCAAAAGUCCAUUACAUUUUCCUUUUAUCUAGCAUUACUAUGUAUUUGAAGUUAAAGGGGAAUGAUCACAUCUAUUACCUUAAUCUGUCAUAUUACUGAGAGUCCUUUGAGGUGAUUAAGGUCACCUUCUAUUUUCAAACUCUACAAUUUUAAUUAAGUAUUCUAUAAGAGAAAAGAAAAAGAAGAGAUGCAUUAUGUAGGAAGAUUUAAAGAACCAUAUAUACCCAGGAAUAAAUAAUACCUAGUUUUCCUUAAUAUUCCACUCCUGUCAUCUGUCAGUCUGACUCUGAGAGUCAGCCGUUCAUUAUAAGCCCACACUCUUAGGCCAGAAAUUUUCCAGGGUGGGACAAUAUGAUUGUUCAAUCUUUGGAACUCCAGAGUGAAAGCCAUCAACUUGUGCUCAAGGUAUCUGUCCCACCUGAACACAUGCACCCCCUGUCAGGAACAGUCAGUGGGUAGGCAAAUGCUUUUUCAAACUCCUCCACACAGGGUCUUAUCUUCUCCUGCAACCAGUAUUCAUCUUAAUUCAGUGAAGCUGCCACAAGGACUUCCUGCUCUGUCCUCCUCU